UGAGGAAUAUUGGACAAUGGGCGCAAGCCUGAUCCAGCCAUGCCGCGUGCAGGAUGACGGUCCUAUGGAUUGUAAACUGCUUUUAUACGAGAAGAAACACUCCUUCGUGAAGGAGCUUGACGGUAUCGUAAGAAUAAGGAUCGGCUAACUCCGUGCCAGCAGCCGCGGUAAUACGGAGGAUCCAAGCGUUAUCCGGAAUCAUUGGGUUUAAAGGGUCCGUAGGCGGAUUUGUAAGUCAGUGGUGAAAUCUUCCAGCUCAACUGGGAAAUGGCCAUUGAUACUGCAAGUCUUGAAUUAUUAGGAAGUAACUAGAAUAUGUAGUGUAGCGGUGAAAUGCUUAGAGAUUACAUGGAAUACCAAUUGCGAAGGCAGGUUACUACUAAUGGAUUGACGCUGAUGGACGAAAGCGUGGGUAGCGAACAGG
rnacentral:rRNA from 1 species